rnacentral:rRNA from 1 species
CCCUUAGACGUUCUGGGCCGCACGCGCGCUACACUGACCAGUGCAACAAGCAUCCGUCCUUGGCCGACAGGCUCGGGCAAUCUUUGAACGCUGGUCGUGAUGGGGAUAGACUUUUGCAAUUUUUGGUCUUCAACGAGAAAUUCCUAGUAAACGCAAGUCAUCAACUUGCAUUGAUUACGUCCCUGCCCUUUGUACACACCGCCCGUCGCACCUACCGAUUGAAUGGUCCGGUGAAGCCUCCGGAUUGGCGCGCACCUCGGUGCCGCCGAGAAGUUGGCUAAACCUUACCAUUUAGAGGAAGGUGAAGUCGUAACA